rnacentral:rRNA from 1 species
UUUGUGAUUUCUAUUACUGAGAAUUAUUUCUUAAUAAUUGAUAGAUAAAUGGUGGCACAUAAUCGGAGGCCCCGACUGUUUACUAAAAACACAACACAGUGCAAUCAUUAAUAUGGUAGUAUACUGUGUGAAAUUUGCCCAAUGCCAUUAAUAUAAAAGCGGUCAUAGGAAACUGUGACUAAUUGAAAAUCUGGUUAAUAGCGGUCUUAACCAUGAGGAUCCUAAGGUAGCAAAAUAAAUUGGCCAUUAAAUGUGGUCCGGUAUCAAUAAUGUAACGAUGGCCUCACUGUCUCUACAACUUGCUCAGUGAAAUUGAAUUACGCGUGCAGAUGCGCGUUACCUCCAGUGGGACGGGAAGACCCUAUGCAGCUUCUACUGAGGGGGUGCGGGGAUGGUGGGGUAAUAG